CCUAAGCAAGACUUGCACUUCUACGUAGUGCUUAGGACUAGUAGCUGCAAAGCGAAGCCAAGCAAGU
rnacentral:ribozyme from 1 species